rnacentral:rRNA from 1 species
UACGUAGGGUGCAAGCGUUAAUCGGAAUUACUGGGCGUAAAGCGUGCGCAGGCGGUUAUGCAAGACAGAUGUGAAAUCCCCGGGCUCAACCUGGGGAACUGGCAUUUGUGCCUGCAUGGCUAGAGUACGGCAGAGGGGGGAUGGAAUUCCGGCGUGUAGCAGUGAAAUGCGUAGAUAUGCGGAGGAACACCGAUGGCGAAGGCAAUCCCCUGGGCCUGUAACUGACGCUCAUGCACGAAAGCGUGGGGAGCAAACAGG